UCAAAGAGUGCGUAAUAGCUCACUGGUCGAGUGAUCCUGCGCCGAAGAUUUCCGGGGCUAAAACUUACUACCGAAGCUACGGCAUCAGUAAUGAUGGGUAGGGGGGCUUCCCAUACGGGUUGAAGCAUGACCGUAAGGACAUGUGGACAGUAUGGGAGUGAGAAUGUUGGCAUGGGUAGCGAGAUGUGGGUGAGAAUCCCACAGGCCGUAAACCCAAGGUUUCCAGGGGAAGGUUCGUCCGCCCUGGGUUAGUCGGGACCUAAGCUGAGGCCGAAAGGCGUAGGUGAUGGACAACAGGUUGA
rnacentral:rRNA from 1 species